rnacentral:rRNA from 1 species
AUUAGUAUAAGUUAUAUUUUUGAAAAUUAAAAGAUUUGGCGGUAUUUUAAUCUAUUCAGAGGAACUUGUCCUUUAAUUGAUAGUCCACGAUCUAUUUUAUUUUAUUUUAAGCUUAUAUAUCGUCGUUUUUGAAAAUUUUAUAAAAAUUUUUAAUUUUCAAGUUUUUAUUUAUAAAAAAGAUCAGAUCAAGAUGUAGUUAUAAUAAAGGAGUGAUGAGUUACAAUAAAUUUUAAUUAAGGAUUUUUAUUAGAAUAAUAUUUUGAAUAUGGAUUUGAUAGUAAUUUUAGUUAAUUUACUAAAAUGAUUUUUAGCUCUAAAAUAUGUACACAUCGCCCG